rnacentral:rRNA from 1 species
CCUACGGGAGGCUGCAGUGGGGAAUAUUGGUCAAUGGCCGGGAGGCUGAACCAGCCAAGUCGCGUGAGGGAAGACGGCCCUACGGGUUGUAAACCUCGUUUGUCAGGGAGCACGGUGAAGGUCGUGACCAGCUGUGAGAGUACCGGAAGAAAAAGCGUCGGCUAAAUCCGUGCCAGCAGCCGCGGUAAUAGGGGGGAUGCGAGCGUUAUCCGGAUCUAUUGGGUUUAAUGGGUGCGCAGGCGGGGGCACCAGUCAGCGGUAAAAUCGCGGGGCUCAACCCCGCGCCGCCGUUGAAACUGUGGCCCUUGAGUGCGCGAAGGGUAGGCGGAAUGCGUGGUGUAGCGGUGAAAUGCAUAGAUAUCACGCAGAACUCCGAUCGCGAAGGCAGCCUACCGGCGCGCAACUGACGCUCAUGCACGAAAGCGUGGGUAUCGAACAGGAUUAGAUACCCUUGUAGUC